GAUUACUUUACUCUUCCCAACUUGAUUCUUCUCUAUUUUUAGAUGUUGAUCUUAAAGUAAUUGUAGUUUAUGCAAUUUUACAAAUGUCACAAACACAGAAUGAUUGGUUUCUGUUUUUCCAACACGAAUAACCUCAUGCAAAGAAAACAUAAGGGGUCAAAUCUGGACUGUUGGCGAGCCAUUCUGACACAGGAAUGAAACACGAGAAAUUUUCCUUUUGAACUUUUGAAUUUUUGGAGGCUAAAUCCUGCUGGAAAGUAAAUGGAAGCUAAAUAUUCUAUUAGAAUGAGAUUUUACAUUUGUCAUAAAAACAGAAGUCUUAGUUAA